rnacentral:lncRNA from 1 species
AAAUAAUGUUAAACUUUCAGAUAUGAGUUUGAAUGACAAUCUUUCGAGAAGUCCAGAAAAGUUAAACUGCAUCUUGGUAGUGCACUGGGAAUAUCAAGCAACUAGAAACCUCAACACCACAAACGCCUUUCUCUCUGAUUAAAAAGAGGCAGUUUACUAACUGAACUUUAAAAUAAUUCCAUACAUGGAAUAACCCAUCCCAAACCUGCUCCCUGCCAUUGCAGGUAACAAGGAUUAAACACUCUUGCUUCCCUGCAUGAAAAACAAGUGAGUUCCUGGCUCUCACACAAACCCCAUUUUACAAAAGCUCAAGACUUUUCUCUCUUGAGCAUUAACUAUUUGCAACAAGCACAAUUUAUAGAAACUUGUCCCAUCAGCUAUCACAUGUCUAGUUACUUUGCAUUAGCUUUUUAAAGGGUCUUAUGGAUGCCAUGAGAGCACCAACAACAGGCUUAGACUCCUCCAUUCCUGCUGUUUCAUCAUCUCUCAUUGUCUGUAAAAGUAAUCUCAGCCAUAAUUCUUUCAGUUUCCCCAUAAGUGCCCAGGCUAGCAGGCAGGGCGUCCACUUCUGUAAGCUCUUCCCAAUGACCCAGGAGCUUCCCCCAUUUGGAGAUAUCCCCUCCUACAACCUGCUUCACUUCCAGCCCCAUGCUACAAGUUGCAGACCUGCCUGGAAAAAAGGACCAUUUUUGUUAUGACACUGAAACCCUCUGGUUUUUUCCCCCUCUCAAUAUUGCUUUUGGAGAACCUAAGCCAUGUACAAACCCUGUGCUGUUAUGCACUGGGUAUUAAAGAUCUGUCCUAAUGGUUUAGCUGUGCUCAAAUAGAACGGAGUAGGGACUUUGCCUUGAGAGACAUGCAAGCCAGAUAAUUCAGUCUGCCUCUACUUUUUUCCCCCCUAAAUCUUAAUUAUUAGAUAAUUACAGAGCAAUUAUCACAUAUGCUUGACCUGGUCAUGGUCUUUACUCUAAGGACCUGCUGCAGAUGAUACCUGGAUAACAUAGGGCACCUGGGAGGGUCAUUCUUACUCGUACCAGUAGCAAAGCACCAUAGGUAAAAGAUGUGAUCAACUACACUGGUAGUAGGGAAAAAUCCUGGGAUGCUAAAACUUUUUCUGUUGGCUCACGUACCAUUGCAUAGCUUAAAAUAUUGGUAAGCUUUUAAUAGCUCCAUUAAUUCUACAUCAAACACUGGCAUUUGGUCGUGCAAUGCGUAUGAGAAAAAGAAAUAUAAGCGCAGCUUCACUUCUGCUGGCAUAGCAAUGAGAAAGUCACAUUUCUGCUUAGUUCUUGACUAGGUUUAGCUCUACAGAGUGGAAAGUUGGCAAAAGUAAAAUAUACAACCAGUCACCUAAAAACAUUUAAACUAAAACAAUGGACAUUUUUGCUGCAAACUGACUACAGCUGCUGAAAUGCACUGUUAUUUCUACCAAGCGUCAGAAAAUUCCCUCACUGUAACGGGAGUGCUUCACCAUUUGUUGCUUUUGACAGCACAUUUACUCUAACAAAGUUUAACAAGCAAUCACAUUCAGGAUUCUAUAUUAGAUUUUAUUUAGUACCAGAGUUAAUAUUUUGGGAUAUAAUUCAAUAACUCAUUGCCUCCUUGAUAAAUUUGUAGUUCUAGCCAAGGCAGGUAUCACCAUUCCUUCAGAAGAAAUAGUUUUGGGAAGAAUCACAGUCCAGUUCAGAGUGUCCACACUUUUAUUACCAAAAGCAUCCCCUAUUAAAACAAGAUGAUAGCACCUGAUACUCAUUAAUCAGAUCUAAAAUGUCCUUCCAGGGCAUUAUUUCCUCCCUGUACCCAGACUUCCUGGUGAGUGUGCAGAUAACUGUAAUCAGGUCCUGCUCCUUUAUCCAAUGCCUUUUUAAAUAUGGUUAUUCACUCCAAGAUUACCCUAUGCUCCACCAGUGAGACCAGCUGCCUCCAAGACCACAGGAAUGGUGGAGAGGCAUCUCCAGAAUCAAUUCUCUCAAGCAAAGCAGUUCUGGGACUUCAACCCACAGCCAGAGAAAUUAGAGAAAGACUGUGAAGCUUUUUUGCUUUGGUGUGAGGCUUGAAAUACAAAUAGGUCAAAGGGGAUCAAAAGUUAGCACCACAUGCUGGUUGUUUGCUGGCUCGGGUAAAGAGAGAUGAUAGCUUCAAGUCCAGCUGCAUGAAGAUAACUGUGCAAGCAAUUAGCAGACAGCUUCCUCUCCAGUAAAUCUUUUAUCCCUUUCUGCAGUGUCCUGAUCAUAGCAAAAAACCUCACAGAUUAAAUUAUUAAAAAUAGCCUGUACAACUCAUGGGUACUCCAGGGGAAGGGGAACGGAUUGUGCUAGCCACGUGACCAUCUCUGGGCCCGUCAAAAGCUUUUCCUGUCUGCCACCAUUCUCUCACCAGCCUUUGUCAUGCAUCAUAUAUAAUUUAAUGGUAUUUCUGCUCCUAAUAUUGUGUAAGAGUUGAUGUCCAGUCAUGGUUUAUCCUGUUUGCUUUGUUUUUCCUAGUCUCUGUGUCUACCUGUUCCUGAAAUGACCUGAUCUUUGGGAAAGGACUUUUCUUGCUUCUGUAUUUGGAAACCAGUGGACAACCACAGUCUGAACAAAGCAAAAGUCAAACAGCAGCAAUAACAUUGGAUAUCAAAGAGCAUUGGCAGGGAAAUGGAAAAGGGCAAUUUAAAAAUAUCACUUAUGAAACAGGAGGACUGAGCACUAUGCCUUUUGAAAACAAGGUCUUGUUAUUCAUCGGAUGAGAAAACAGGAGGUAGAAGGUAUGACAUUGCCUCAAAGCACCCCGAGAACUUCCACAAACAUUACUGCCUUGAUAUUUUCCUAAGCACAGACAGCAAUGGCUGUCCUCUCCACAUAGUAUUUAACAUGGAACCAGAGAGAAAUCUUCUCCUCCACCUUCCCCAAGUGACAGGACAGCAUCUAUCUCCUCCUCCCUUUCUGGGAAAAAACCCUCCUCCUGCUCUGCACCAAGGCAUGUGGUUUAAACACGCAGGUCCAACAGUUGACAGCUUGAGACAGGUGAGAAUUACAUGAUGGUCUCUCCAGAUCUCCAGGUCCACAGCCAGAUCCCCUCUGUCUCUCCUUGCUGCCUUUAGAGGCCAAAGCCUCCACCUGUCCACUCAAGAGCUGAAG